GACGAACGCUGGCGGCGUGCUUAACACAUGCAAGUCGAACGGAAAGGCCCUGCUUUUGUGGGGUGCUCGAGUGGCGAACGGGUGAGUAACACGUGAGUAACCUGCCCUUGACUUUGGGAUAACUUCAGGUAACUGGGGCUAAUACCGGAUAGGAGCUCCUGCUGCAUGGUGGGGGUUGGAAAGUUUCGGCGGUUGGGGAUGGACUCGCGGCUUAUCAGCUUGUUGGUGGGGUAGUGGCUUACCAAGGCUUUGACGGGUAGCCGGCCUGCGAGGGUGACCGGCCCCAUUGGGACUGAGAUACGGCCCAGACUCCUACGGGAGGCAGCAGUGGGGAAUAUUGCACAAUGGGCGGAAGCCUGAUGCAGCAACGCCGCGUGCGGGAUGACGGCCUUCGGGUUGUAAACCGCUUUCGCCUGUGACGAAGCGUGAGUGACGGUAAUGGGUAAAGAAGCACCGGCUAACUACGUG
rnacentral:rRNA from 1 species